GACGAACGCUGGCGGCGUGCUUAACACAUGCAAGUCGAACGGAAAGGCCUGCUUUCCCUUGUGGAUUGCGGGUACUCGAGUGGCGAACGGGUGAGUAACACGUGAGUGAUCUGCCCCCAACUUGGGUAUAAGCCUGGGAAACUGGGUCUAAUUCCCGAUAGGACUGCAGGGUGGUGCCUGUGGUGGAAAACGAUUUUCUAGUGGUUGGGGAUGGGCUCGCGGCCUAUCAGCUUGUUGGUGGGGUAAUGGCCUACCAAGGCGGCGACGGGUAGCCGGCCUGAGAGGGUGGACGGCCACAUUGGGACUGAGAUACGGCCCAGACUCCUACGGGAGGCAGCAGUGGGGAAUAUUGCACAAUGGGCGGAAGCCUGAUGCAGCGACGCCGCGUGGGGGAUGACGGCCUUCGGGUGGUAAACUCCUUUCGACCGCGAGGAAGCCACCUGGUUGGAAGGGUGGUGACGGUAGUGGUAGAAGAAGCACCGGCUAACUACGUG
rnacentral:rRNA from 1 species